ACAAAGGCUGUACACACAGCCACCAAAAAUACCAAAGAAACAUAUCU
rfam:Pelecanus crispus contig67650, whole genome shotgun sequence.